GUGCAUCGAACUGUUGAAUCACGAUCUCCUCAAUCGAAGCCCAUUCGCAUUACUUCGUGUAAUGGGCAAAGGUCGGGUUCCUGUGCUGCAUACCCACGAAAGUGGAAAUCGAUUAUGUUGCGGGUUGGUAUUCGCCUAUGCGUAUUAAGGGCAUAUGGUGAACAUGGAAGCACCUCGUUUGUUCCAAACAUGUCCAUUCAACUGUUAUGGCAUACUUGUAGGUUUGCCCGUGCUCUCGGAUGCGGAAAUUGUUUUGUAGCUGAGGGAUCGGAUCCCUCAAUCGCUCGAAUAUUAUAUAUUUACGAACGACAUGCAGCGCUUGUUUCCAGCCUUCAUCAUGCUACGAUGUUGGUAUGCUGAGGAAUGGGGCGGGCACUGUGUUCGUGAAGGAAUGC
rnacentral:misc_RNA from 1 species